rnacentral:rRNA from 1 species
AUUGAACGCUGGCGGCAGGCUUAACACAUGCAAGUCGAGCGGAGAUGAGGUGCUUGCACCUUAUCUUAGCGGCGGACGGGUGAGUAAUGCUUAGGAAUCUGCCUAUUAGAGGGGGACAACAUUCCGAAAGGAAUGCUAAUACCGCAUACGUCCUACGGGAGAAAGCAGGGGAUCUUCGGACCUAGCGCUAAUAGAUGAGCCUAAGUCGGAUUAGCUAGUUGGUGGGGUAAAGGCCUACCAAGGCGACGAUCUGUAGCGGGUCUGAGAGGAUGAUCCGCCACACUGGGACUGAGACACGGCCCAGACUCCUACGGGAGGCAGCAGUGGGGAAUAUUGGACAAUGGGGGAAACCCUGAUCCAGCCAUGCCGCGUGUGUGAAGAAGGCCUUAUGGUUGUAAAGCACUUUAAGCGAGGAGGAGGCUACUGAGACUAAUACUCUUGGAUAGUGGACGUUACUCGCAGAAUAAGCACCGGCUAACUUUGUGCCAGCAGCCGCGGUAA